GUGCCAAACCUCAAACUGGGCUCUAAGAUUUUCAAUAAAAAAUGGACCAGAAAGUUUGUAUAUUUGUACUCCCUUUUAAAUGAUAUGUAAACACUAAACGCCGAGGGACUUAGUUUAAAAGUUAACAUACUUAAGGGUAAAAAAAAUAAACAAAUUGCCAAUUUUAAAUUAAGAAUGACGCAGUUCCUGACCGGGACAUUUGUGUUUCCUACUGAACAUUGGAGUAACGGUAAUUACCAAGUUCUGUACAGAUUUCAAUCUCUACUCUUGCACCCUUUUAAACUGUUUUAGGCCAGUUUACAGAUAAACCGUUUGCCGCUCCUUACUACUAAAGCUUUCUUUGUGGCAAAGGGUUAAGUACUUCUCUAAAGGUGAACUAACAAGUGCCACUAAAAAGGUUGAUGAUAUACGCUCUUAAUUUAGUACCUUACUACCAUAUAAAAACUGCAAAUAUUACGAAAAAGGUCACUAACUUUACCUAGCCAAAAUUUUAUCUCGCGUUACUUAUAUAUGCCUCUACUUUUAAUAGUGAUUGUUUAAAAAAAUAGAAAAUCCUGCUUUGCGAGUGUAUUUUCGCUUAUUAUGCAGAAAAGAACAUUUACUUUAACUCUUCAAUGGAAUAUGCUCUACUUCUUUUUUUUAACUUUUGUUCUAGGCCAUCCCUUCAUAGUUCCUUUUCACUCUAUUCGAUACCCUUUUCAUUUAUUGUUUCAACUCUUCAAGAAUGUUAAUCCAUAGAGAAAAAGUAGAAAGUUUUUAAUGAAGCACACCUAUAAAACACCUGAACCCGGCGCGGGUGUAUAUUUCAAGUGCUUAAAGAAGCCCUUCCGUUCUUAUUUGAAGUGGAGUUUCCGUACAAUUCACUUUAUGAAACCUUUUUUUUAACAUUUAUUGUAAGAACGAGCAAACGAAUAAGCACGUAGCUUGGGUAUUAUGCAGUAAUGAGCGUCAGAGAAAAUUGAAAGCACGUCAACUGCCGAGGUAAUCCACUUUUCAGCACGGAGGAUAGACCAAUAUUGGCUUCCUUAAAAGCCUUGUCAAGUCUCAUUAUUAUUGGUUUAGAAAUCAUAAUUUAGAAUAUU